UGGGGAAUAUUGCGCAAUGGGCGAAAGCCUGACGCAGCGACGCCGCGUGAGGGAUGAAGGUUUUCGGAUCGUAAACCUCUGUCAGAAGGGAAGAAACCGCACUGUGCUAAUCAGCAGUGCCUUGACGGUACCUUCAAAGGAAGCACCGGCUAACUCCGUGCCAGCAGCCGCGGUAAUACGGAGGGUGCAAGCGUUAAUCGGAAUUACUGGGCGUAAAGCGCACGUAGGCUGCUUUGUAAGUCAGGGGUGAAAUCCCACGGCUCAACCGUGGAACUGCCGUUGAUACUGCUUAGCUUGAAUCCGGGAGAGGGUGGCGGAAUUCCAGGUGUAGGAGUGAAAUCCGUAGAUAUCUGGAGGAACAUCAGUGGCGAAGGCGGCCACCUGGACCGGUAUUGACGCUGAGGUGCGAAAGCGUGGGGAGCAAACAGG
rnacentral:rRNA from 1 species